UCGGAUCUUUCAAUUUACGCCGCGCGUGUAUACUUACGUAUAAUAAUAUGAUAUUAUUAAAUAUGAACGAUAUUUCGAUUAUACUUAUGCACGCGUAAAUAUUACUCACUCGGUCUGUUGUAUACUUUAAUUUUUACGCACGAAAUAAUCGCUUUUCUUUUCUUCCCUUUUAGUAUAAUUAUUUAAAUCUCCGUUUCGAGUGGCGGCAUUCGGAAAUAGAGUUUUACAGCGUACCGCGUAUAUAGGUUAUAAUUUAUUGUACGUAUACGUAUUAUAUCAUUAACGAAAAGACAACAACAGAAACAAUAGAACGAUAAAAUUAUAUAUAUUACGGACCUUUGUGUUCGCCUUUUCAUUACUCGUUGUUAUAAACCGAAAAGCUCAAGUGAAUACUGCGCCGCGACUCCUUUCAUCUUUCCAAGGUAGAUUAUUGUUAUUAAACAAUAUUUAGUAGUUCCCAAUCAUAAACACAGUAGACUAUCCGAACAAUGUCGAUUCAAAAGCUUGUUGUUAUUAUUAUUAUUAUUAUUAUUAUUAUUAUAUAAACAACAAUCGGUGUCUAUACUCGAAUCCGCCCUCGAAAUUCCUAAGUCGGUAUUUCAUAUAUAAAGUAUAAUAUUAUUAUUAUUAAACUAACUUUCGGGGCAAAAAUAGUUGCCCUCCCCCGUUUCCGUCGCGAAUUUCCAACCCACAUA